GGUGGCGGGUACUGCUAGGAUUGUCCCAUCUAGAUAUAGGACUCCUCAGUCUUUACACCGUCACUGUCCAACCAAUAAUCCUGGAGGAACAUUGGUCAGUGCCGCUGAUAAACUAUUGCGGGAGGCUACUGCCACACCUCUGAAUCCUUGUACUGUGUCUCAGGAUGAUGGAGCAUUAGUCUCCAGAAAGCUUUCAAAAGUUUCUACUAGCAAUGAUGUAGAUUCUGGUGCUACUGCUACUACUAAGGGAAGUUCAUGCCCAAGUUCUCCAGUUUGCAGCCAGAUUACUAAGGGAAGUUCAGGUCCGAGUUCUCCAGUUUGCACCCAGAGCAAUAAGACGCGGACAUUAUCAGCGGUGAGGUCUUCUAUGCCUGAGAUUGAUAGAUGUCUUACUGAGAGAAAUAGAGACAAUAAAAACAGAACUUUUGAUGAUUGCAGUUCUUAUAAAUCUUCAUCUUUACACCUGUGAAUCCUUGUACUGUGUCUCAGGAUGAUGGAGCAUUAGUCUCCAGAAAGCUUUCAAAAGUUUCUACUAGCCAUGAUGUAGAUUCUGGUGCUACUGCUACUACUAAGGGAAGUUCAUGCCCAAGUUCUCCAGUUUGCAGCCAGAUUACUAAGGGAAGUUCAGGUCCGAGUUCUCCAGUUUGCACCCAGAGCAAUAAGACGCGGACAUUAUCAGCGGUGAGGUCUUCUAUGCCUGAGAUUGAUAGAUGUCUUACUGAGAGAAAUAGAGACAAUAAAAACAGAACUUUUGAUGAUUGCAGUUCUUAUAAAUCUUCAUCUUCUACUUGCGCUCGUUCGUUGCAUCUGCCAGCAGCCAACACAACAGAACAUUUGAUGAUUGCAGUUCUUAUAAAUCUGCAUCUUCUACUUGCUCUCGUUCAUUGCAUCUGCCAGCAGCCAACAAUGAGAAUUCCUCCUCUUGGCUAUCUCUAAAACCAACUG
rnacentral:lncRNA from 1 species